rnacentral:rRNA from 1 species
GAUGAACGCUGGCGGCGUGCUUAACACAUGCAAGUCGAACGGAAAGGCGCUGCUUUUGUGGGGUGCUCGAGUGGGGAGCGGGUGAGUAAAACGUGUGUAACAUGCCCUUGUCUUUGGGAUAACUUCAGGAAACUGGGGCUAAUACAGGAUAGGAGCUCCUGCUGCAUGGUGGGGGUUGGAAAGUUUCGGCGGUUGGGGAUGGACUCGCGGCUUAUCAGCUUGUUGGUGGGGUAGUGGCUUACCAAGGCUUUGACGGGUAGCCGGCCUGGGAGGGUGGCCGGGGUCAAGACGACUAAGGGACGGACCAGACGCGAACGUGAGGCAGCAGGGGAAAAUAUGACGCAAUGAUCGGGAGCCUGAUACAACAACGCCGCGUGCGUAAAGAUGUCCUACUGGUGGUGAACCGAUUUCGCCUGUGACGAAGCGUGAUUGACGGUAAUUGGUAAAGAAGCACCGGCUAACUACGUG